UGGGGAAUAUUGGACAAUAGGCGAAAGCCUGAUCCAGCCAUGCCGCGUGUGUGAAGAAGGUCUUCGGAUUGUAAAGCACUUUAAGUUGGGAGGAAGGGCAGUAAGCGAAUACCUUGCUGUUUUGACGUUACCGACAGAAUAAGCACCGGCUAACUCUGUGCCAGCAGCCGCGGUAAUACAGAGGGUGCAAGCGUUAAUCGGAAUUACUGGGCGUAAAGCGCGCGUAGGUGGUUCGUUAAGUUGAAUGUGAAAGCCCCGGGCUCAACCUGGGAACUGCAUCCAACACUGGCGAGCUAGAGUAGGGCAGAGGGUGGUGGAAUUUCCUGUGUAGCGGUGAAAUGCGUAGAUAUAGGAAGGAACACCAGUGGCGAAGGCGACCACCUGGGCUCAUACUGACACUGAGGUGCGAAAGCGUGGGGAGCAAACAGG
rnacentral:rRNA from 1 species